AAAAGCGUUGCUCUUACAAUGCCCAUUUUGGAUUCAAUUUCUGCCCUAUUUUCUACAACUGAAAUCCAAAAAAACUGUAUUACUGCUGGGAAUCAAGCAUACUCACUAUGCUAACGAAACGUAACGUUGCUUCAGCGGGAGAUCCAGCCCUGAAAACGUAGAAUCCAACGCUAGCAGUAAUAACGGAGAUCACCAGGAUCAUCACUAGAAACAUGUUCCAUCUUUUCGGUGUACCUAAUGCACUGACAGUUUCGAGUGUAAGAAUUCUACUGAAAAUAUCAACCUUCAAUUGUUCAUUCUUUGAGCACUGAUUAUUACAGUUCAAACCGACACGGAGAGUAAAUUCUAAUGAAGGUAGAGAGUCAAAUUUGCUCAUUUGGGACUUCACAGGCCUCGUCAAAGUUUUCAAUGACGACAGGUCGUAAUGCUGAUGAGAAAAUACGGAGAUCGCACAUUGCGUCAGUUUCCUUGCCCUGACUGUCCUUGCAGCCCUCGAUUUUCAGCUCUAUCAAGUCGUCAUCGAGGUGACUUCUUUUGUAAAGUAUCUAAGAUGAGAAACAGUAAAGUUGACGUGAAAAAAAUGGAAAA